CUCUUUAAGCUGACAUUCAUAUGGUUUUAUUUCCAUUUUUUCAAGUACAUUGUAUUAAUCAUUCUUAGAAUGUUGUCUUCUUUCUUAAUAUUUAUUGGUUAUAACUCAUAAACUUUAUAUACUAUUUUGUUUCCAUAUUGGCUUUUCUGCACCAUUGGGUCUAUAAGUGAACUUGAUGGUAACCACCCAGCUUUUCUAAUCACAUAACAUUAGCAUAUAAAAAUUCAUGACAUUUCUUUUAUCCUUAUCUAUCUGUCUAAUAAAAAAUAAUGUUCAUUUUAUCAAAAUAUCAACUACAAAUUUAAGAAUACAUUUUGGAAUUUUUUUCCAAAUGGUAUUAAUUCUGCCAUAGACAGAAAAAUAAUAACUUGAAGUUAGAAAGUGCCCAUUUGCAUAUAAUAAAAAAAAUGCCCAAUGAUUUAUGAAUAUUUUUUUCAGAGAUUCUUCACAUUUAGGGUCAGAGUCUGGUGAGGAAUUUACAUCUCCUCUUGGAGCUCUGAAUAAUUUUCCCUCAUGCUUCCCAAAAGUUCACUUAUGCACA
rnacentral:lncRNA from 1 species